rnacentral:rRNA from 1 species
AACGAACGCUGGCGGUAUGCCUAACAAAUGCAAGUCGAACGAACCCUUCGGGGUUAGUGGCGCACGGGUGCGUAACGCGUGGGAAUCUGCCCUUUGCUUCGGAAUAACAGUUAGAAAUGACUGCUAAUACCGGAUGAUGUCUUCGGACCAAAGAUUUAUCGGCAAAGGAUGAGCCCGCGUAGGAUUAGGUAGUUGGUGGGGUAAAGGCCUACCAAGCCGACGAUCCUUAGCUGGUCUGAGAAGAUGAUCAGCCACCCUGGGACUGAGACACGGCCCAGACUCCUACGGGAGGCAGCAGUGGGUAAUAUUGGACAAUGGGCGUAAGCCUGAUCCAGCAAGGCCGCGUGAGUGAUGAAGGACUUCGUGUCGUAAAGCUCUUUUACCAGGGAUGAUAAUGACAGUACCUGGAGAAUCAGCUCCGGCUAACUCCGUGCCAGCCGCCGCAGUAAGAC